GGGCGUUGCAAGACAAUAUUGAUUUCACACGUUAUUUCGUUGGAGUACAGGCCAUGUUUAUAGAUUAUAUUGUGAAUGUUGUGUAAUUUCGUUAUAAUCUCUUUUAAUAUCUUCAUUUUCCUUUUAGUGUGCAUUUUAAAAACAAGUGAAGUGUUUUUAAAAAGUGAAUAUCUUCGAACUCUAAAUUUUCAUUUGCAUACGCAAAUUGAGCGAACUUCUUAUAUUCUAACCUUUUAAAUUAGUGGCUCAAAUAAAUCGUGCGACAGUCUACCUGUACAAUUCAAAACGUAUCAGAAUGAAAGUCACAAUAAAAAGCUGGACAGGUGUCGCCACCUGGCGUUGGAUAGCUAACGAUGAUAACUGCGGAAUUUGUCGGAUGCCUUUCGAUGCGAGUUGCCCGGAUUGCAAAAUACCGGGAGAUGAUUGUCCUUUAGUUUGGGGGCAGUGCUCGCAUUGUUUCCAUAUUCAUUGCAUCAUGAAGUGGCUGCAUUCUCAGCAAACCAGUCAUCUGUGCCCUAUGUGUCGUCAGGAAUGGAAGUUCAAAGAGUAAAUGUUUUCCCGAUGUUCCCGCAGGUGUCAGCACGCACCAAAUAAUCAGGAAAGAAAGAACAAAAAAGAUAGAAUUUUUUUCUUUCCGUAAUAUCGUCUCGGUAUAAACCGUGUGAGUUUAGAAAGUAUCUCGUAAUUUGGCCUUCUUCGUUGGAAUUAAUCAGGAGAUAGAAUUUUCCUUAACUUCUUGGAAAGCGUACCACGAAUCGAAGGAAAGAAAAGAAAAAAGAAGGAAAAAAAAGGAAGAGAGAAGUAGCUACGGCGCUCGUUCGAUUUAAGAAUUCAACGAUUAUCGUGCCGUUCACAUCUAUGGCUUCGAUUGCCGACUACGAAAGUUGUUUACGCUCACAUUACGCGUCACACACAUCGGCCGAUAAGCCGAACGAGAUAACGUGUAGAUGAGGGAAUACGUAUUCGACGACGACGACGACGACACACGUGACCUAUAAUACGAGCAUCUGAUUUGCGUGCUUAGCACGUGUGUUGUACAAGCAACUUUUCUUGUCAGUAAUGGAGGAAAUGAUUUCUUUAAAGUGUCAUGAUACUAAUUACUUCUAUUGUAUUCUCUAACCUUGUUAAAUCUAGGAAGUUCGAUAAGAUAAUGUAAUUGAACAUUAUGGAGAAACAUGUAUGUACGUAAAUCGAUAAAUCAAUUAAAUUGAGAACGAAAUGUCGGACAUGGCAAUAACGAUUAAGAAAUGUUCGUGCGUUUAUUAGAUAUAAAAAAGAAACAAGGAAAAAAGAUGAGAAGAAAAGAAAAAAAAAAAAACAAAAAAGAAACAAAAAAGGGAAACAUUGUAAUUCAAUCAUCAUCACUAAGUCGUGUUGUAAUCGUUCGUGCAAUGCAUUGUUCCGAGAUGCGAUAAAAUAUUCUUUUAAGUAA